UGAGUACGAGCUGCUACGGCAGCGAAGUGGGUGAUGUCAUGCUUCCAAGAAAAGCCCUAUACCCGUUAAGGCAUGAUGGCCUGUACCCGAAACCGACACAGGUGGGGUGGUAGAGAAUACCGAGGGGCGCGAGGUAACUCUCUCUAAGGAACUCGGCAAAAUGGCCCCGUAACUUCGGGAGAAGGGGUGCCACCGCAAGGUGGUCGCAGUGAAGAGGCCCAGGCGACUGUUUACCAAAAACACAGGUCUCCGCUAAGUCGCAAGACGAUGUAUGGGGGCUGACGCCUGCCCAGUGCCGGAAGGUGAAGGAAGCUGGUCAGCGUAAGCGAAGCUAGCGACUGAAGCCCCGGUGAACGGCGGCCGUAACUAUAACGGUCCUAAGGUAGCGAAAUUCCUUGUCGGGUAAGUUCCGACCCGCACGAAAGGCGUAACGAUCUGGGCGCUGUCUCGGAGAGAGGCUCGGCGAAAUAGAAUUGUCUGUGAAGAUGCGGACUACGUGCACCCGGACAGAAAGACCCUAUGAAGCUUUACUGUAGCUUGGUAUUGUGCUCGGGCUCGGAAUGCGCAGGAUAGGUGGGAGGCUAUGAACCGUUGCUCGUGGGUGAUGGUGAGCCACUGGUGAGAUACCACUCUUUCCGAGCUAGAGUUCUAACAGCCACCCGUUAUCCGGGGGCUGGACAGUAUCAGGUGGGCAGUUUGACUGGGGCGGUCGCCUCCUAAAAGGUAACGGAGGCGCGCAAAGGUUUGCUCAGGCUGGUUGGAAAUCAGCCGACGAGUGUAAAAGCAGAAGCAAGCUUGACUGUGAGACCUACAAGUCGAACAGGGAGGAAACUCGGCUUUAGUGAUCCGACGGUUCUGCGUGGAAGGGCCGUCGCUCAACGGAUAAAAGUUACUCUAAGGAUAACAGGCUGAUCUCCCCCAAGAGUUCACAUCGACGGGGAGGUUUGGCACCUCGAUGUCGGCUCAUCGCAACCUGGGGCUGAAGUCGGUCCCAAGGGUUGGGCUGUUCGCCCAUUAAAGCGGUACGCGAGCUGGGUUCAGAACGUCGUGAGACAGUUCGGUCCAUAUCCGGUGCAUGCGCAGGAAUAUUGAGAGGAUUUCUCCCUAGUACGAGAGGACCGGGAGGAACGCACCUCUGGUGUACCAGUUAUCGUGCCAACGGUAAACGCUGGGUAGCCAUGUGCGGAGAGGAUAACCGCUGAAAGCAUCUAAGUGGGAAGCCCACCUCAAGAUGAGUAUUCCCAUGGGGUAACCCAGUAAGGUCACGGGAAGAACACCCGUUGAUAGGCUCUACGUGGAAGCGCAGUAAUGUGUGAAGCGGAGGAGUACUAAUAGACCGAGGGCUUG
rnacentral:rRNA from 1 species